CCUACGGGGGGCAGCAGUGAGGAAUAUUGGUCAAUGGCCGAGAGGCUGAACCAGCCAAGUCGCGUGAGGGAAGACGGCCCUACGGGUUGUAAACCUCUUUUGUCGGGGAGCAAAGCGAACCACGUGUGGUUCAUUGAGAGUACCCGAAGAAAAAGCAUCGGCUAACUCCGUGCCAGCAGCCGCGGUACUACGGGGGAUGCGAGCGUUAUCCGGAUUUAUUGGGUUUAAAGGGUGCGCAGGCGGAGGUGCAAGUCAGCGGUAAAAGCCCGGGGCUCAACCCCGGCGAGCCGUGGAAACUGGCUGUCUUGAGAGGUCGAGAGGUAUGCGGAAUGCGCAGUGUAGCGGUGAAAUGCUUAGAUAUUGCGCAGAACUCCGAUUGCGAAGGCAGCAUACGGGCGGCGAUCUGACGCUGAGGCACGAAAGCGUGGGUAUCGAACAGGAUUAGAUACCCGUGUAGUC
rnacentral:rRNA from 1 species